rnacentral:rRNA from 1 species
CCUGCUCAAUGAUAAAUUUAAAUAGCCGCAGUUUUACUGUGCUAAGGUAGCAUAAUAACUUGCUUUUCAAAUGAAAGAUAGAAUGAAAGGUUAAACGAUAAACUAUUAUUUCAUAGGAUAUAAUAAAACUAAUUAUGAAGUUAAAAAGCUUCAAUAAGCUAAUAAGACGACAAGACCCUAAUAAACUUAUAAAUUUAGUUGGGGCAACAAAAUAAAAAUACUUUAUUUUAAUAUAAAAAAUUGAACUUCUACAACUAAUUAUAUACUCAGUUACUAUAGGGAUAACAGCGCAAUUUCUUUCAAGAGUUCAUAUUUAAAAAGAAUUUUACGACCUCGAUGUUGAAUUAAUUAAUCUAUAAGGCGCAAAAGCUUUAUAAGUUAGUCUGUUCGACUAAUAAUAAAUUACAU